GAGGCAUCAGGAUGUCUGUGUGCUCUUUCCGAAGAAGCAGGGAAACGGAGCUGGUCAGAAGACACGGUAGUGUUUAGUGUUUACCACUGGAUUUCAAGCCAGAAGAAAAUGAAAUUGGGGGCAUAUUUUUGAAGAUUUCCAGUUUCUUUCUAAUUUUAUAUCUUGGAAAUGCUCACUGAGAGAACACAUAGGCUCUUGGAGCAAAGCUGAUCAAGAAUCAAUUAUUCUGACUGCACAGGAAGGCUCCCCACCCAGCCUGAAGCCCAAUGUGGAGCUUGAACU